UGCCAAUAUUUUGACAAAGGAAUGCCGGAAAAAAAAUUUCCUCCCGUAGCCUGUCACAAAACCUGUGUAGCUGUGUGUAUGCUUUCAGAGUAUAGGAAUGAGGGACAGGGGAAGAUAGUCAUGCAUUUUCUCACUGAAACAAAGACACUCAAUUAUAACCAAAAAGGGAGAGAAUUCAACCCUGCAAUAAUAUAAAUAAGAGCAAAUUUGGAUACAGACUGCCUAACCUAGCAAGGAGAGCUUUAAAACUAGGUUCAAUAGGGGCAGGUGACAAAAGCUAACAGAAAAGAAUGGAACAAACACAGGACAUCAUGGCUCAGAGGGCAAGGGAUAGGUUUCUACACUGUCUUGCCUACUGGUCUAGGAGGAGAAAGAGGCAAUGUUCAAAUAUGGACAAAUUCACCUAUCCCCAGUUUCUUCUUUCUCUGCAGCUGGAUGAGUGAGAAUGUCAGAAUGAAGUUUAGCUGGACCUCCCUGGUGUUUGGCCGUUAUAUAAAGUUGAAUGCAUUUACACUGAAACUAUUCUUGCAGGGAAGUCAAAUUUAUUUUAAUGCCAUGCAGUGUGCAAAUUACAAUUCAAGAUAUCGUUAACCUCGGUUUAUGAAGUUGUUCUCUGAAAAACUCCUCCCUGGGACAAGUCUUUGGCUCGCAUUCCACUCCCUCUAUAGGCUCAAUUUCUGCUUUUCAUGGGGGGGGGGGGGGAUUGUGGGAACAGGCUGCAGAAAGCCAAGACACCUCUAUACCCUUCCUACACAAACAGAGCUAUGUAUGUUCCAGGGUUUGGGACAUAUUCAGUGAGUGCACAAGAAUUCAUAGAUUUCAAGGCCAGAAGGAAUCAGUAUGCUAAUCUACAAUGACCUCCUGUAUCUAACAAGCUAAAGAAUUUCACCCACGUAGUAUGUGAUCCAUUCGCCAAAUCCACACACAUG